rnacentral:lncRNA from 13 species
AUGUUAAUCAUAGAUGCCCCAGUGGAUGUGAAGAUUGAGGGAGUGUCCAGUGUGAAGGAAGGAGACUCUGUGGAGCUGAGAUGCUUCAGUGACAGUAACCCUGCUGCCCACAGCUACCACUGGCACAACAGUAGAGGACCUCUGCCCACCACUGGACCUACCAUCACACUGGAGAAUGUGACCAGACUCACUGAAGCCCUCUACUGCACUGCCAUCAAUAGAGAGGGACAAGGCAACUCCAGCCCACUGAAACUCAAUGUAGAGUACCCCCCUGAGAUCAAAGUGGGCUCCGCCUGCACUUCAGACAUCUCCAUGGUAACCUGUCUGUGCAUUGUGGACUCGGAGCCCCCCGGCUCCGUGGAGUGGUCUCUUCCAGAUGGACCCCUGCCCAACCGGUCCAGUACCAGAGUGGAGAGGCAUGGGUCAAUUACUAUGAUGACCCUACAGAGGGCACUAGGCUUCUCCGAGACCAUCCACUGCCAUGCCAGCAACACACAGGGAAAUGCCACCUUGUCCUUCACUGUGUCCACAAAUGAUAAGAUGUCGAUGCUGUACGUUUCAAUUGGUAUUGCUGCAUUAGUGGUGGUAGUAAUACUAAUUACCAUGUCAGCUUGCCUUUUGAACAUGAAGGGUGGGAGGAGUCAUAGGGACCCGUCAGUAACCUGCAAGCAGGAAGUGCAUACAGCCAAGUGUGCUUCCUCAGAUCCCUCAACUUCAAGGAAAGAGCAGACAGACACCAGCAGUGAAAUCCACACAAACUACUGCACCAACGAUCACGUAUAUGGAAACAUGGAGGUAUGUACUGUGGUUCUACUGCAGACAUUUACAGCUGCUGUAGAGAUCUGAGAAAAGUUUGCUCUAAAUUCAAAGGAUAUAAAAAACAGAGGUGUUGUUGAUGAUAUUUCUGAUCUGGUUUCCUGUAGGCUGAAGAGGAUGGCGACCCAUACGAGUGUGUUGAUGGAGACGAUGCAGUCUAUGCUAAUGUAUGAACACAACAGAAAGCGUGUGGAAGUCAGCUGGCCCAGAGGCAGUGGUACUCAGUCUGUCAAAGGUUCCAGUAAAAUAUUAACAUUUUAACCCAAUGUAGCAGAACAUAUUAUAUUAUUAUAUAUUAUAUAAUAUGUUCUGCUACAUUGGGUUAAAAUGUUAAUAUUUUAAAACCAAACUGUUUAUCAUAUAUAUAUAUAUAUAUAUAUAUAUAUAUAUAUAUAUAUAUUAUAUUUGUUAGCUUGAUGUAGGUUUAUGGUACUAUUGGCUAAAGAAAAUGGUGCAUUCUUAUUUGGGCUGUGGCUUUGUGUUAUAUCUUUUACAAGGCCUAUGUUUAUUAUCUAUGGCUUGGAUAAUUUAGAAAUGUUUUUACUAAAUGUCAAUUAUACACAAAAUACUAACCAGUACUUAACAAUAGCUUGUUUCACACUUCCCCAGCUGUCUAUUGCAAUUGUGUGUUGAGGCGGCAGGUAGCCUAGUGGUUAGAGCUUUGGGCCAGUAACCGAAAGGCUGCUAGAUUGAAUCCCUGAGCUGACAAGGUAAAAAUCUGUCGUUCUGCCUCUGAACAAGGCAGUUAACCCACUGUUCCUAGGCCGUCAUUGUAAAUAAUACUUUGUUCUUAAACUGACUUGCCUAGUUAAAUAAAGGUUAAAAUAAAAUAAACAUUUAAAAUCUGAGGAUAGAAUACGUGUGUGUGAGCUUUCAUUGUUUCUAAACUUGGGGUUGCUCUUUUAUUUUUUGAGAUUUUCAGCAUCUAUUUAUUUCCAUAGGGAUUGAGCUAUUUCAAAAUACUGAUUUUGUCAAUAUACAUUACCGG